CAAAGUCAAAAUAUGAUUGGUUAAAUCGUAGUGCAGCGUUAGCCAGUCAAAAAGUCGAUUGGAAAUGUUUUGUUGUUUUUAGAAAAGCUUGUUGAAUUGAGUCAUUCAGUGAAGUUCGUGGUUUUGGAGGAUUCAGUGCAAGGAUCUUGUUUGCACCAUGCUGGACAAGGAAUUGAUUGUGUCAGCACCUGGGAAGGUAAUUCUUCAUGGAGAGCAUGCAGUGGUCCAUGGAAAGUUGGCGCUGGCUGUUGCCUUAAACAGGCGGACUUAUGUCAGAAUGGGUCGUAGUGCAGACAGCAGUGUGUCUCUGAACCUACCUAACAUCAACACAUUCCUCAGCUGGGACUUGUCUUCUCUUAAGUCAUUGAUGCCUGCAUAUGCAAUUGAACUACAGAAAGUAGAUAAACCAGAUCAUGGGCUAGUCCAGCAGCUACGAGAGUUUUUGGGUGUGCCAGAAGGAUCGAUGGAAAACUCCACUUUGGCAACCUUGGCAUUCCUUUACCUCUAUGUCUCCAUCUUUGCUGGAUCAAGGGAUUGGAUAGGUAUUACAGUGACUGUGUGGUCAGAGUUGCCAACAGGGGCUGGUCUUGGAUCAAGUGCAGCCUACGUGGUUUGUUUGUCUGCUGCUCUGUUAUCCGCCCGAGGACUGCUAUCCUCCCCUGUAAAUGGCUGCCACGUUUCCAGAUGGAAUAGAGAGGAGCUUGAGAUAAUUAACAAGUGGGCAUUUCAAGGAGAGAAAAUCAUCCAUGGUAACCCUUCUGGUGUGGACAAUGCUGUGGGUACAUGGGGUGGAGCUUUAAGGUAUCUUUCAGGUGAUAUCACACCAUUAAACAGUGUUCCGAUACUAAGGAUACUGUUGACAAACACACAAGUUCCUAGAAGCACAAAGGUUCUGGUAGCUGGAGUGAAAGACAAAAUUCUCAAGUUUCCAGCUAUAACAAUUCCAGUGCUUGAUUCAAUCAGUGCAAUUUCCCAUGAGUGUGAAAAGAUACUGGGAGAAAUGGCAACAUGCCCAACAGAUAAACACUAUGAUGUUCUGGAGGAACUUUUUGACAUCAACCAGCACCACCUCAAUGUGAUCGGUGUGGGCCAUCCUUCACUUGACAAACUAUGUCAAAUAACGUUGGCUCACGGACUGCACAGCAAGCUUACAGGGGCUGGUGGAGGGGGCUGUGGCAUCACCCUACUGAGACCAGAAUCAAUGAUGACUGUCUUGAUCAGAGCUUCCUGUUUUCUUACUUGAACCUACUUCUGGUCAUCUGCUGAACUACUUGGCUUCACUGUCACUUGGAUUGUAUAAACAAAAGCAGCCAAGCCUGAAAGACUGUCUUUGUGUAAAAUGUGAAUCGGAGACCACCCUUUAAAUGGGCGUACACAACGCACUAAUAAAAUUAGUCGACAGAAUCAUAUUGGAAUGCUCCUGGACCAUGGAGAGAUUCCGCUGCAGCUCUGGAGCUGGUGGAUGAAUUUACAAAUCAGUCAUAUGUGACUCAAGGCCUUUCUGAGCUCCAGACCUCACACAGUAGGUGGGUAGCAGCCAUGGUUUGUUUGUGAGUGACACUUCUCCCCAGGAAGACGGGAGAAGUCCACAUCUUGACCUGUUGUUCAGCUGAUUUCAAAAGAAAAUGUGGACACUAAAUGAACCUCAAAGGUCAUGACUGCGGUGAAGGUUGUAUCGACUCUGGUCCUGAGACCGGACACCUUCCAACAGAUGAAGUGCUCUGCCCUGUCUGUGGUUAACGGCGGCCUCAAUCAAUCAAUUAUUGCACGGCACAGCUAACAUGGCGCCCACUAUCAGCAGCUGCUUUUCUCCAUAAUAGAGAUGAAUCUAAUCUAAAGCAAUAAAUAAACAGCACUCCCCGGUGGAGUACGCCGCGAGGGCUCACAGUUUGAUGAGUGUGUAUUGCAGAGAACAUUUGUUACAAAUAAGCGAAUCGACUGGAAAGGGAAAGAGCUGAUGCCUUUUGUCAGAGGUGACUUAGCAAGACACAAUAAUUGCCUUUGAUCUAAUUUGCAUAGAAUGCAAUGAAUUUGAUCCCAGCAUUCACCACAGACCCCCAAGACACAAGACAGGGGUUGGCACAGGGUGAUAUAUCACAAGGUGUAGCCCUUGCUUCUUAUGUGAAGUCCCUGGAAUUGGCAUUGCACACACUUAAAAGAAGUAGUGCUGUUAUUAAGUCUAGAAAUAUAACAAAAUUGUGAAGAAAUCAUAAUUUCCAAGUUCAACACCCUUAUGUAACCCCAUACUCACUUCCGCUGUAGCACCUAACCAUUUUUUUCCAUUGCUUUCCUCAUUAUUAUGCAUUCCAAGAUAUAGAAUGUGGCCUUCCAUGGCCUCCUCAGCAGAUUUGAGGACCUGGCGUGCACGAGCAUACAGUAACAGGAGGGAUUGCUACCCCAGUCCUUUAUGCGUGCUAGGAAACUACAGAGACAGACAUUGCAUAAGGUGCAUCACAGAGGGAAAAACGCCACUGCACACCUGCCGAGAACCUGCAUACCUAGGAACACACCUUCACACCACUCAGUACUUUUUGGGGUGUUCUUAGGUACUCACACACUUGAAGCAACCCAUGAGACAUGGCACCUCAUAUGCCAUGAGAAGGACAUUGUUUGGCUCCCCAGGAAUCCCUUUAUGCAGAGAAUAGAGAAUGUGUUGUUCCAGAACUGCCAAAUGUACAUUCACAGCCUGUUCAGAGACAAUUCUAUUUUAUAUGGAUUCACCAGUUACUUUAUUGUACAGGAGCACAACACUAGGCAUCUAGCACAUAGGACCCACUACUUGGUGUAAGUCAGGCACUGUAAUAUAAAAUAAUAUAAAUAUAUCAUGAACUUAGCAGGGUUCCAUCUCACUGUUAGAUCAUGAAGUGGUGCACCAAGUCAAAUGGUCCAAUAUGUUUUUAUUUAUGUAUGUAUUAUUUAUGUACAAAUAUACCAAUUUAUCACAAAAACUGAGUGAUUUGGUGGGAAGUGGGUCAAGGUGUUUGUGCUGUAUGUCCCAUUUUUGAGCUGCUGAUCAUUACAAAUGAUUCUGUUCUUCACCCUAUUAUCACAUCUUAGUUCAGUAGUUGUUUUUGCUGUUUCUCAGUUCUCAGCAUAAUUACUGUCCAUAUGGAGUUUCUGCAUUCUCCCUGAGCCUAUCUGGCUGAGUUCUGGUUAUUCUAAUUUCUUCUCAUCGUCACAUAAAGGAGUUGGCUGAGCAUGUAUGUAACUGUUGGCUCUUCUGAUGCAUUCACUGCUGCAAGUUUGAAUACCAGCUUCCUCUUUAAAUUCUUAAAAAGAGACAUAUUGCCCAAUGAGCAGGAUUUAUUUAUUUAUUUUUGCUUAGUUAGACUGUUUUGGUCUCUGCUCACAUGUCAAAGUUCUCUAUAGAGAGACAGACUCACGUAUUUGCAACUGGCCCCAAAUUUGUGUUUUGCUCAGUGCUCUGUUCAUUCAUUAAUUGGUUUCAUUUUGCUCAGUUAAACCCCAUGCAGUUAAACAGUCAUGUAACCUUCAAGUUCAACAUUGGCGGUCAAUGUCCCUUUGAAAACACUAGUCAAAAGUAAACAGUCUAAGUAAACAGGCUGGAUGGCUCACAUGUCCUAAACGAAUCAUAUUGUCAUAUUGUACAAGUUUAUUGGAUUUCUCACUGCAGGGGCUCUCGUAAAACAAAGCAGGGAGGAAAAUAAUAACAACACAUUAGUCUGGUAAAAUACAACAAGCAAGUGUUUGUGUAGCGCAUUUAGUCAGCCUGCUUGUAUACAGCCACAUGGGCCAGUCAUACUUGGCAACUCUUGCAGGCACUGAAGUGAACAUAUUCAAAUGUUUUUCAUUUGUAAGAAAAUAAACCAUGGAUAAUAUUUCAGAGAUAUUUUUAGUUGGCAAGUUUUGCACAUGGUCGUCCUUACCAUUUGUGGCAUAUUUGGAUGCUGUUUCAUUUGUUAGUGUUAUGAUUUUGGCCUUUGAACUAGAAGAAAGACAUUGAGUCCUAAAAAGACUAGAUUAAAGUUUAAUUGGUUUAUUAACAAAACAUUCAAAAUUGAAUACUUUAAUGACUUUUAAUAGUACAAAACAAAAUAAAGAAAAUCAGACCAACAAAAAGUGGAGGCUAUGAUUCAAAAUUAACAAAAAUAAAUCAAAAGUGCCAAGGAUUACAAUAGGCUAGAAGUGAAGAAAAAUGAUAAUAAAGUAAAUGGCCAAGUAGAAUUAAAAGGAAAUAAUUAAAAAAUAAUAUCAGUUAGACAAAGGGCAUAUAUUCAAAGAAAUGUUAUAAUAAAAAGGCUAAACCCUACACAAAGGCCAACAUUAAAACAAAAAAAUAAUUUUAAGCAAUGAGGCCAAGCACUUCAAAAUGUCCACUGUUAUUAUUGUUACAUUUCAGUGUGUGUUUUUUGUUUAUAAAAUUUUUAAGUGGUGGUUUGAGUGACAAAAAAUAUAUUGUUAUUUUGGGAUGAGUUCAAAGGAUUGCCAUUAACCAGAGCUGAGAUAUGUAUAAAUCUAGAACACUUUUUACUAAAACCAAACUAUUAUUCAAAAAUUCUUAGUCAAAGUGAAACUAAACUAAAAUGUUAUUUUUGUUUUGAUUGCCACUUACUUGCUCUAUCACUAAGCUGUCUUUGAUUUUUAUGAAGUCUGAUGAUACAAAGGUUGGAUUCACCCACUGUUGAACUGUUACCUCUCAUCACAUUACCAUUGGCCCACAAAGAUAGCAAUGGGCAUCUUUGCAGUCAACAAAAUGAAAAUAAAGCACAAAAUAUUGGCCCCUUUUUGACAAAACCUUAACUAAAUCAGUGGUGUGAUGACAUUAUAAGAAUAAUAACAAAAAUUUAUAAAAACAAAAAUAGCAACAAAAAUCAAAAGUAGGUGCAUUCAAUACAAAUUGUUAAACUUUAGUUGUGUCACUUGUCUCUGUAAACAAUUAUAAAUGCCAAUGGAGGGAUUUCUUCUGGACACUGUGGUACCAUAUAGCCUCCUCAGUGAUGUCAUCUCUCCAUCUUGCCCAUUUCUUCUCACCUUGCCAGCUUUCUUUGUUUUUUCACUAAUUGGAAAAUUCAAAUCUGCUCAGUCUUUCACAUAAGCAGUCCAAAGUGGAAAUAUAAAGGUAAACCUAGGGCAUUCUUUAAAAGUGACCAAUGUACAAAUAUCGCUUUGCUAAGGGGAUUCUGGGCUGGCAUCUGUUUCAAACUAUUUUUGCUCUCAGUCCAUUGCCACAGAGCUCCACAGCCUCCUCAGCACCAGUGUUCCCUGUUUCACCUGAUGGUUUAGUUCAAGUUAUCGUGUAACAUUGAGGGAGAGAUAAUGUUUCCCAUAGUGCAUGCCAAUUGCACCUUGAGGUACCACCCUUGGAAACUUCUAUCCAAAGCUCAUCUGCAGUCCUGGUGACUGGAACAGAAGCAAAGCCAUGUUUCUUUCUAUUGUGCUGCUGCUUUGUUAUUGUAUGAAAGGCUUGACAUACUUGAGUAAUCCUCCAGAACACCAGGAUGAUGGUUGCCAUCAUGACUGGAAUUAACAAAUGCAUUUAUUAUGAGAGUACUGUGCACUUCUCCUCAAAAUGUAUUGUUUUGACAGGCACACCGACUUGCCAGACACCCGCCACUACGCGUCACUGAUGUUUCCAGGCACAUACAGUGUGAGCAGCCAAAGCACCGGGAAAAGCCUCCAUACUCAAAAUGAAGCCUGCACGAUGCAAGUUCUGUGUCUGCAUCACUGCAAGGAGCACAAUGUCCAUUUAGUAGGGUAUCAGUGGUGACUGUUGUUUUAGUAGAGGUCAAAGGUUACUACUAAAGAUGGCACAAUUUAUCAUCAUGCAACUUGACACACUGUGUACAUAAGAAGAUCUAUCGGUCACUGUCAGUGACAUGCUUUACUAAGGGAUUGAAUCAGGCACACUGCUUCUACUGAGAAGUAUACUCUGAUCAACAUCCCCUUCUCAACUUCACAUCCUCCUUGAGACAGCUCGAGGUCAGCCUUCUCAGCCAGUGGAGCCAAACUUUUUUUGGUACAGUGGCUGAUCUGGGUUUCUAACUGAAAGGGAGCCUCUAAUGUGGCAGCAGGCUCUCUCUUGCUAAGCUUUGCAGCACUCUCACAGUCUGGCUGUUUAGUAGUGCGUCAGUGGUUGCCGCAUGUGGCCCAGUGUCUACUUAAUUAAGCUUUUGUGGUCAUUUGGAGAGAUCAUUAUAAAUGUCUAGUUGUCUUACUCUAGUAUGGCUUCGGUAGUCACUAUUUGUUGAACGCUGCUUAGUAGAGGACCAUUGUCACUGCAGGCUAGCACAAUUUAACAAAGGUUUAGUGGUUAGUGCAGAUGACACACCAUCUGUUUAUUAGAGGUCAGUGGUCACUAUGGGUGGCACAUUUUUGAUGGCAAUAGUGAGCAAUAUAGUUGGCACAAUGGAUAGCAGGUGAUACGGCCUAACAGGAGUUUAGUGGUUACUGUAGGUGGUAUAUUGCCUGCUUAGAUGGGGUAAAGGGUAGCUAGAAUUGGUACACUUCAGUUGGAGUUUAAUCAUCACUUCAGUAACCACACUCUCUGUUCAGUAAGAGUCAGUGAUCACUUCUGUUGUGUUGAAAUUCUAUGUGGCUUUCAACAAAUUAUGGAUUGUUACUCUGUCCAAGUAGUUGGGCUCCUACCUUGACAUUCUGUAGGCCUUGCCACAUUUUUUAGUGUCUUUGGCCUUUGCCACUUUUGGUCAGACUUAUCCCAAUUACAAGUGUGACUUUGAGACACUGACUAAGUGUCUGAGCACAGUGGAAUUUUGACCCAAACCUGGGGAUUGCUGAAAAGGUGGAUGCUCUGGAGGUGGGAGCAGCAUGGCUGUGGUUGCUAACUAGGCUGAUCUUGAAUCCCAUCCUCAGAGCAGAUGCUUGUCAUAUUGCAGCAUUAGUGUCUAAUCAGGCACGAACGGGCUCGCCUUUACAAAUAGCAAUCAAUAGUUUCCAUGGUGACAAGGUUUAAAAGAAAACAGUCAUGUCUGUAGUUAGAAAUCAGUAAUGAAAUGAUAAUUCAACAUUCAGAGGGCUGCUGUGUGAUUUGGACUCCAAGGGUGAGAGUGACAGGUGUUGGCAUAAUGAAAACGGACAGGACAGGGUCAAAAGGGGUAUGUAGGCAAUUCUUUAUUAAUGAUUCAUUCUAACUGGGAAAUCCUCCAACCAAAAAAAAAAAA